CCUACGGGAGGCAGCAGUAAGGAAUUUUCGUCAAUGGGGGAAACCCUGAACGAGCAACGCCGCGUGGAGGAUGACGGUCUUCGGAUUGUAAACUCCUUUUGUGAGGGACGAUAAUGACGGUACCUCGCGAAUAAGCCCCGGCUAACUCUGUGCCAGCAGCCGCGGUAAUACAGAGGGGGCAAGCGUUGUCCGGAGUUACUGGGCGUAAAGCGCACGUAGGCGGUCCGGCAAGUGGUGUGUGAAACCAAUCAGCUUAACUGAUUGACGCCAUGCCAAACUGCAGGACUCGAGUCAUGGAGAGGUAGUUCGAAUUGCUGGUGUAGUGGUGAAAUGCGUAGAUAUCAGCAGGAAGACCAAGGGAGAAAUCAGACUACUGGCCAUGAACUGACGCUCAGGUGCGAAAGCGUGGGGAGCGAACUGGAUUAGAUACCCAGGUAGUCCACGCCGUAAACGAUGUAUGCUCGGUAUUUGGGCCUGUUAAGGGCUUGGGUACCUAAGGUAACCCGGUAAGCAUACCGCCUGGGAAGUACGAACGCAAGUUUAAAACUCAAAGGAAUUGACGG
rnacentral:rRNA from 1 species